rnacentral:lncRNA from 1 species
UAAUUUGAAAUCAAACAGUCUUUCAUUAACAAAUUUACACUGAAAUUUAAUAACUAAAUACUGAAAACAUAACUUUAGAGACACAGCUCCAUUAAACAAAAGUCUUAUAAUAAUUCUAAAAUAUUCCUAAAUUUCUUAAACAAAAAUAUCUUUCGGUCUUCCACAAAAGUGCCAUGAUACUCGGCUCUUAACUAGCUUCCUGUAAAAAUUAUGUAAGGGUGAGCGAUGAAGCCCAGUAAAUGACAAUCUUUACUAUUUAGGUGGAUCAAGUACAAUUUGUAAAAUAUUUUUUUUCAAAAUAACUUUUUCAAUUCAAUAACAAUAGUAAACAUACUUUUCAAAAAUAUUUUUUCUUGUUCGAUAACAAUAGUCAAUAUAUACAUUCAAAAUCAAAAUCAAUAAUUACAAACCAAAGUUCGAAAACGAUUUCAACAUCUUCAAUAAAUUCAAUGUAACUUUUAAUUCACGGCCCUAACGAUUAAGGUUACAACAAUCCUGUAAAACGGCAAAAUGGUUCGAUAAUGUCAAUAAUACGCCCCUUACUAAGGUAUCUUAUAAUACAUGCGCCCCGAAAAGCACCCCCCAAAGGUAUCUAAAGGUGUGCGCCUUUGUAAGUCCUAAAUUGUUCCGAAACUAGCAUAAACACUAACGUUUCUGUACAUAGUUGGACUGAGAUUUUUAAAAAAAAAUUCUCAAUAUUUUUUAUAUUCAAAAUUAUACUUAUUUCACAAUUUCAAAUCACAUAAUAUCAUUACCUAAAUCAAAAUUCUAUUUUGAUACUUGAUCCGAGUUUUUAACAAAAUACAAGUGUAACAUUUUCAUUCAAAUGAAAGCCUUGAAAUAAAGUAUAACAAUUUUUGAAACAAUACAUUUAAGCAUCCGAAUAAUUACUAAACCAUACAUAAUUAUAAACAAAAAUUUCAAAAUACUAAAUAGCUCAAAAAGUCACUUACCUCGAUAUCGUUGAACACAAAUUUAAUAGCCGAACAAUUCCUAUAUAUAAAUUUAAAAUAAUUAAAUGUCAUAAGGACAUAAUUCUAUUAUUUAACAUCUUUCUUAUUAUUAUUAUAACUAUAAGUAUAUUUACAAAAUAUUCUUUCCAUAUAUAAUCAUUUUUCAAACAAAUAUUACAAUUAUGCCAAAAUAAUAAUCUUAAUACAAAAUAAUAAUUAAAGCCAAUAAUAUUAAUCCAAAACUAUUGAUUAAUAAUCUAAAUACAAAGCAAUAAUUAAAACUACAAAAAUAACGACAAUGGAAAAUAAUAAUUACUAACAAAUAUACCCAAAAUAUCCACUUUAACUAACAAAUUAAAUAUAAUAUUUAACAUAAUAACAAUACAAAAAAUUACGUAAGAAACAUACCCAAAAAUAAGAGCUCCACAGACUUCCUAUGCACUCGAAGCUAAAAUUUAACUAAGAAAGUUUUUAUAAAAAAAAACCCUCCCACAACAAAGCCUUUCUCAAAAUUGAAAACCUUAUUGUUGGUGAAUGAAACAAAAUAGAAAAUACUAAUUACCAACAAAUAUACCAAAAUAUCCACUUUAACUAACAAACUAAAUAUAAUACUUAACAUAAUAACAAUACAAAAAAUUACGUAAAAAACAUACCCAAAAAUACGAGCUCCACAGAUUGUCUACGCACUCGAAGUCAAAAUUUAACUAAGAAGGUUUUUAUAAAAAAAAAAAAACCUUCCACAACAAAACCUUUCUCAAAAUUGAAAGCCUUGUUGUUGGUGAAUGAAACAAAAGGGCUAAGCCCUUCUAUUUAUAGACUUAGGAAAGGGUAAGGUUUUCAAAUUUAAAAGAUGUGGGACUUGGGUCAUUACACUCCUAAUAUGAAAUAUGCUGAGAAUCAUAUGCUCAAAGGAUUGAGGAUUAGAAGUCAUCACAUAAUGCUUGAGUGCAUCAGGGAGGGGGAAUUCCUAUGGAAAAAAUAUGAACAGGGAAGAUGAC